rnacentral:lncRNA from 1 species
GAGUGAUCCAGGGCCACCUCCAGAACUCAAGUCCCAUUUAGUGAGAAAAUCAAUAUGGUGGACAUAGAUCUGACAUGCUAAAUAAGCUCAUUAUAGUAACCUUCCUGCUCUGGAAGGAACGGUGACAGUCUUCCACGCCGGAACAUUGGGGACUCUCUGGGUUUUAUUAUGUAGAUAACCUGGCACCAAUUACACCCUGGGGAUAGAUGUCUUCUGCAUGCUUUUCUUUUUAAUAAAAAGAUGACUUGCUGACCCAUUGGCUAUGGAUAUUAGCCAUAAUGUUGGAUAUUAUGGAUGACACUAAAUUCAAAUAAGGUAAAGAUUGGGGGUUUCCCAUGGUAUUAAAUAACCCGCAAGCCAUCGGUGCUGUUUUACAAAGCUGUUUUAGAGCACGUCACCAUAGAAAAUGGGACAUAAGGUUUGUAUUUUAAAUUCACAUUGGACAAGGUUACCAGAUUAGCACGGGAGACCCGAAGGUGACCCUCGUAUUACCUUGCACUUAUCUGCACAGUCACAGGAGUGGGAACAUUCAUGGUAUGGCACACACAGCCCUGCCCAAUGAGCACCACAGUCUGUCAUAGUUACCUAACCUUGGUUUCCCUGUAGACUAUUGUGCAUGUCUUUUGCACCAACAUGACCCUGUGGGGAGGAGCCCCAGCCAGAGCCUCAUUAAUAAGAAUAAAAGAAUUGAACCCCAGCCAGAGCCUAGUGCAGGAUGGGAGGAGACUUGAGGGAGGCAGUGGGUAUCUUUUUUGCCUUUGCCAGGCUCAUGAAUUUCUGCAGGCAGAAGGGAGGCCAUAGUAAAUGACAUUUCCAAAGCAAGGCUAUGUCCCCUCCUAAAUGAUUUACCAUGCACGAGUGUCUAUCUGGAUCCAGGCAGGUCUUCUAAAAUGAAGCAUGGUAGGGGGAUGCUGUGAGACUUUGGAGUGGUCAGAAAAUGUCUUUGUUGGUUGGUUGGUUUCCUCUUGGAACCCAGCCACCAUAGUGCAGUUGAACCAGUCACAGAGAGCAGUUUAAUGUGUCUGGUUGGCAGCUCAGAACCCAUUGCCAUAGGCACGAGACUACCUUGGACAUCAGCCUUUCUAGACAACACCACACAAACCAGAAGGUUUGCCUGGCCAACCCGUUGAAGGUUUUGUGACAGAAGCACUGGCUCUUGUUACUCUGGCUGGUGUUCACAAACCUAAGCAGAGAGAGCCCUAGAGGUUUAGAUAAGAAAAGACAAGCAGAAAGAGAACCAGGCUCUGGGGAUGUGGGAAGGAGACACAGUGCCAAGGAGUGAUGGAGGAGUGAGUUAACUCAACUCUCUGAGAGGGAGAUCGCCCCCCACCUGGGGAGCCUUCAUGGAGGGGAGUCACCCAGGCAGAGGGGAAUCAGCCAGAUGAAGGCCUUCAUGACCUCUUUAGCUUCCUUGGUUCCAGUUUGCACAGAGGUACUCUG